rnacentral:tRNA from 4 species
CGGGGCGUAGCGCAGCCUGGUAGCGUACUUGGAUGGGGUCCAAGUGGUCGGAGGUUCAAAUCCUCUCGCCCCGACCA